AUAUAUGUGCUCUCUAAAAAUGAUAUGCAUUAUUCCUUUGGGAGCAGGAAUACCUCCAUAACAUGCUACAUAAAAGGAGUUCUCAGAGCUUCCAACCUUACAGUAGAGGUUGAGUAGUAGUAUAUUUCUCCUACAUAG
rfam:Myotis lucifugus cont2.527, whole genome shotgun sequence.